rnacentral:rRNA from 1 species
AUGGGGAUGGAGGCAGGCGCUCCUGGUCCUAGCUCGAGGAAGAGGAAAGCAUCGGCACACGAGGCGCCCGCCCCGGCGCCGACGGCUGUGGAAGCGCCCGGUGCGGAACCUACAGCGGAGGACCGGGAACCGCCUCUUUCCGGAGCGGAUGGGGACGGAGGAGGCGCCGGCGGCGACCGCAUCAGCGACCUCCCCGACGCCGUCCUCGGGGACAUCGUCUCGCUCCUCCCCACCAAGGAAGGCGCCCGCACCCAGGUCCUCGCCUCCCGGUGGCGCCAUCUCUGGCGCUCCGCCCCGCUCAGCCUCGACCACCGUUACUUCUUAUUCGACGAGGAGGGCCUCGAUGUUGCCAUAUCGCGCGUCCUCGCCGCCCACCUGGGCCCCGGCCGCCGCUUCUGCGCGCCGGUCUACCACCUCCCUGGCGACCGAGCGGAUGCCUGGCUCCGGUCACCCGCCCUCGACAACCUCCAAGAGCUCGAGCUGUGCAGCUUCAGUUAUAUGUUGCCGUAUCCACCACCAACGAAGCAGCUGCCGCCCUCAGCUGCCUUCCGCUUCUCCGACACCCUCUUGGUUUUCACCAUUGGAGAUUGCCACCUUACCGACGACAUCACUCAAGUGCUUCACUUCCCUAAGCUUCAGAAGCUCGCGCUGAAGCGCGUCCUCAUAUCUGAAUCCUCGCUGCACAUCAUGAUUGCUGCUUGUCCUGCUCUCGAGUGCUUGCUUAUAAGGAAGAGUUCUGGCUUUCGUUGUGUCAGAAUCAACUCCAUUAGCCUGAGAAGUAUUGGUGUGAGCGGUUAUAGCCCGAGAGGGCUCAACUUUGAGGAACUCAUUAUCGAGAAUGCCCCUUGUCUCGAAAGCUUGCUCAUACUUGGUUCAUGUGAGUGCGGUCUUAUAUCGGUAAUCUCCGCGCCUAAACUGGAGGCCUUAGGCUAUCUUUCUUCUCAUUAUGGUACCAGAAUCUCGUUUGACUCGACAGUUAUUGAGCGAUUGAGUGUUGAUCGCCUGACGACAGCGGUGUGCACUGUCAAGAUUUUAGCUGUUGAUAUGCAUGCUCUUAGUCUGGAUACUGUUCUUGACUUGAUGGGAUGCUUUCCGUGCUUGGAAAAGCUGUACAUUCAGUCAACUGGACCAGGGAAUACCAACUUCUGGCGUCGUAAACACCGGACUCUUAUAAGAUCACUUGACAUCCGUCUAAAGACAAUUGUUUGGCGAUGUUAUCGGGGAAUUAAGUCACAUGCUGACUUUGCCACAUUUUUUGUACUAAAUGCUGGCGUGCUAGAAUUAAUGACUUUUGAGGUUGAUGUGGAAGAUUUCAACGAGGAGUUUUGUGCACAACAUCGUAAGAUGCUUCAGGUGGAUAGUAGGGCCUCAAGAGGUGCUCGGAUUCGUUUUACUUCGGAUUGGUCUUACAAGUAUCAUAUGGAUUUUAGUAUCCAUGAUUUGGGUCCAGCUGAUCCCUUUGAAAGGACAUACCCUUUGAAAGGAGAUAUCACUUUUGUGCUUUGCUAA